rnacentral:ncRNA from 1 species
UUAGAGGGACAAGCAUUACGAAUGUGCACGAAAUUGAGCAAUAACAGGUCUGUGAUGCCCAUAGAUCUCCGGGGCCGCACGCGCGCUACAAUGACGGUACCAAAGAGUCUGACCUUUUGGCCCGAAAGGGUUGGGCAAACUGGUCAAUCGCCAUCAUGACAGGGAUCGGGGCUUGGAAUUGUUCCCCGUGAACGAGGAAUUCCUAGUAUGUGCAAGUAAUAAGCUUGCGCUGAUUACGUCCCUGUCCUUUGAACACACCGCCCGUUGAUACUAAUGGUUGAAUGGUUUAGUAAGGUCCUCGGAUUGGCGCCAUUGCAGUGCAAGCCGCAAGGUUGGUGCUCGACAGGUGCCGAGAAUGUGACCAAAUUUGAUCAUUUAGAAGAAGUAAAAGUAGUAACAAGGUUUUACGGAGGUGAACCUGCGAAAGGAUCAUUA